CAUAUUUAGUGUUAGUUACUAAAGAAACAUGAAGGGUAAGUGUCACUCUCAGUGGACAAAAUCAGCUCUUGUGGUUCAAGAACCAAUGCACAAGGAAAAAGGAUGGAACUGCUGUUAUUGAAAAGCUUCACUCAAGUCCAAAGAUGCCUUGUGUUUAGGCUGUCUGGAGUCUUCACCUAUUCUGUGACAGUCUCAGGGCAAAAUUAGAAACACAGCUGUGCUCCAGGCAAAAGCUGCACCCAUGCUGAUAUGUUUGGAAGCUGAUGAUAUGGUGGAGGUGUAAUGUCAGUCUGAAAGCAACAAAGUGAGCAUUAGCAACAGAAAACUGCAAGAGAGAACUUGAGAGACAAAGUUCAUGAAUCGAACGGUUUUGUAAAGUUCAGUGAAAUGGCUGUAGCAGUGUUGUAGCUGUGGAGACAGGAGCAGCAAGGUUUGAACAGUUAAUAACCAGAAAUAUUGUGAAGAUAUUGCUUCCCUGGCCCUCCUUUUGCUACAUCACAGAACUGUGUUCAGCACAUGGAAUUACUGUGGUCAGGAAAAGAGAAGAGAAGCUAGAUGGCACUAUGGUCCAAAGGGAUCAUGUUCUGCUGGUGAACAGGAUGAAGCUGUGCAAGUCAUCUGGUCUAAAAAGCCUCUAGAAUUUAAUAGAUAUCAGCAACAACAGGGUCAGA
rnacentral:lncRNA from 1 species